ensembl:misc_RNA Metazoa_SRP Metazoan signal recognition particle RNA
GCCAGGCGCAGUGGCGCUGCCUGUGGUCCCAGCUACUCGGGAGGCUGAGGUGGGAGGAAGGAUCCCUUGAGCCCAGGAGUUCUGGGCUGUAGUGCGCUAUGCGAUCAGGUGUCCGCACUAAGUUUGGCAUCAAUAUGGUGAUCUCCUGGAAGUGGGGGACCAUCAGGUUGCCUAAGGAGGGGUGAACUGGCUCAGAUGGGAAAUGGAGCAGGUCAAAACUCGAGUAAUGAUCAGUAGUAGGAUUGCGCCUGUGAAUAGCCACUGCACUCCAGCCUGGGCAACAUAGCAAGAUCCUGUCUCCA